rnacentral:rRNA from 1 species
GAUGAACGCUGGCGGCGUGCCUAAUACAUGCAAGUCGAGCGAACAGACGAGGAGCUUGCUCCGCUGACGUUAGCGGCGGACGGGUGAGUAACACGUGUAUAACCUCCCUAUAAGACUGAGAUAACUUCGGGAAACCGUAGCUAAUACCGGAUAAUAUAUUGAACCGCAUGGUGCAAUAGUGAAAGACGGUUUUGCUGUCACUUAUAGAUGGAUCCGCACCGCAUUAGCUAGUUGGUAAGGUAACGACUUACCAAGGCAACGAUGCGUAGCCGACCUGAGAGGCUGAUCGGCGACACUGGAACUGAGACACGGUCCAGACUCCUACGGGAGGCAGCAGUAGGGAAUCUGCCGCAAUGGGCGAAAGUUUGACGGAGCAACGCCGAGUGAGUGAUGAAGGUCUUCGGAUCGUAAAACUCUGUUAUUAGGGAAGAACAAAUGUGUAAGUAACUGUGCACGUCUUGACGGUACCUAAUCAGAAAGCCACGGCUAACUACGUG